rnacentral:rRNA from 1 species
GACGAACGCUGGCGGCGUGCUUAACACAUGCAAGUCGAACGGAAAGGCCCUGCUUUUGUGGGGUGCUCGAGUGGCGAACGGGUGAGUAACACGUGAGUAACCUGCCCUUGACUUUGGGAUAACUUCAGGAAACUGGGGCUACUACCGGAUAGGAGCGCCUGCUGCAUGGUGGGGGUUGGAAAGUUUCGGCGGUUGUGGAUGGACUGCCGGCUUAUCAGCUUGUUGGGGGGGGAGCGGCUUACCAAGGCAUUGGCGGGUAGCCGGCAUGAGAGGUUGACCAGCCACAUUGGUCCUAAGAUACGGCGCAGUCGCCAAUGGUAGGCAGCAGGGGGGAGUAUUGUACAAUGGGGGGAAGCGUGAUACAGCAACGCUGCGAUCGUGAAGACGGCCUUCUGGGGGGAAACCGCAUUCACUUGUGACGAAGCGGGAGUGACGUUAAUGGGUAAAGAAGCACCGGCUAACUACGUG